UAUCGUGUAUCUGUCUGGGCCUUGUCACUGAUUAAAAAAAAAAAAACACGGAGGUGCGAAAAACGUGAAACGGAAAAAGUUUACAAUUGAGACGUCUGGGGGAAACGGAACGCCGAUGUGCUGCAUUGGACGAGUCAUAAGUCGGGCUGUCUCAUUCCCUAUGCCAUCGCUGUGCUGCUACAAUUCCGGACAAAGCAGUAUGCCGCCAUGUUCUUUCGCUUCCCCAAAGACGACAGAUGACGCUUUCACCUGGUGGUUAGCAGAUGCAGAAGCAAAUCCCAGCACGUCGGCUCCCAGAGGCCGCGGGCACCGCACGAUCUCCGAGUUCCAUGGCGACGAGUUGCGCUGGUUCUCAACGGGCUAAAUUCUGCGUCAUAUCCGGAACGUUCAUUUUCUUUCCUUUUCUUUUGCGAGCUUUAGGGGCGAAUCCAUCAGCAUCUCAAGCAAAAACGUUGCACCCGAGGCUGCUACGUAUAUACACUACCUGAACCUAGAACGUGGUCCAAAAUGUCGCUGCAGUUGACCUUUAACAACACGGGGGAUCUUAGAUUUUAAAAAAAGAUGUUUCCGCGGAAUCGACGUGCCAACUUUUUGUUCUUCCUUUCUCUGUUUGGUAUGGGCUUCACCGCGGAGUCUCAUGUGACGCCAUACAAGAAGUCGAUUUUCAUGAUUUCGUAUCCCUUUUGAAAAAAAAAAGAAAAAGGAAAUGAAAUAAAGAAAAACGACGAACCGAGCAAAGAACGGUACAUGUAUACCGAGCCAGACGAAGCGCUGUCUCAGUCUUCACGUCCCGCUCUUCUUGCUGUUGCUCUUUCUUUUUUUAGAAAUGUACCAACUGACCCAAGUUAGCGCCUAUUAGUAUUACUCAACUCGAAGAGAC